GGGUGAGUAACGCGUGGGUAACCUGCCUCAUACAGGGGGAUAACAGUCGGAAACGACUGCUAAUACCGCAUAAGCGCACAGUGCUGCAUAGCACAGUGUGAAAAACUCCGGUGGUAUGAGAUGGACCCGCGUCUGAUUAGGUAGUUGGUAGGGUAACGGCCUACCAAGCCGACGAUCAGUAGCCGACCUGAGAGGGUGACCGGCCACAUUGGGACUGAGACACGGCCCAAACUCCUACGGGAGGCAGCAGUGGGGAAUAUUGGACAAUGGGGGAAACCCUGAUCCAGCGACGCCGCGUGAGUGAAGAAGUAUUUCGGUAUGUAAAGCUCUAUCAGCAGGGAAGAAAAUGACGGUACCUGACUAAGAAGCCCCGGCUAACUACGUGCCAGCAGCCGCGGUAAUACGUAGGGGGCAAGCGUUAUCCGGAUUUACUGGGUGUAAAGGGAGCGUAGACGGCGCUGCAAGUCUGGAGUGAAAGCCCGGGGCUCAACCCCGGGACUGCUUUGGAAACUGUGGCGCUGGAGUGCAGGAGAGGUAAGUGGAAUUCCUAGUGUAGCGGUGAAAUGCGUAGAUAUUAGGAGGAACACCAGUGGCGAAGGCGGCUUACUGGACUGUAACUG
rnacentral:rRNA from 1 species